rnacentral:rRNA from 1 species
GACUGGAUAGGAAGAUAAAAGGCAUCUUUUAUCUUUUAAAAGACCUAGUAAUAGGUAUGCUUUAGGAGGGGCUUGCGCCAUAUUAGUUAGUUGGUAGGGUAAUGGCCUACCAAGACGAUGAUGUGUAGCUGGACUGAGAGGUUGAACAGCCACUUUGGGACUGAGACACGGCCCAAACUCCUACGGGAGGCAGCAGUAGGGAAUUUUCGGCAAUGGAGGAAACUCUGACCGAGCAACGCCGCGUGAAUGACGAAGUACUUCGGUAUGUAAAGUUCUUUUAUCAAGGAAGAAAAGCAAAUGGCGAACCAUUUGUUUGCCGGUACUUGAUGAAUAAGCCCCGGCUAAUUAUGUGCCAGCAGCCGCGGUAAGACAUAAGGGGCAAGUGUUAUCCGGAAUUAUUGGGCGUAAAGGGUGCGUAGGCGGUCUAGUAAGUCAGUGGUGUAAUGGCAACGCUUAACGUUGUCCGGCUAUUGAAACUGCUAAACUUGAGUUAGAUAGAGGCGAGUGGAAUUCCAUGUGUAGCGGUAAAAUGCGUAAAUAUAUGGAGGAACACCAGAGGCGUAGGCGGCUCGCUGGGUCUUAACUGACGCUGAGGCACGAAAGCGUGGGGAGCAAACAGGAUUAGAUACCCUGGUAGUCCACGCCGUAAACGAUGAGUACUAAGUGUCGGGUUAAACCGGUACUGAAGUUAACACAUUAAGUACUCCGCCUGAGUAGUACGUACGCAAGUAUGAAACUUAAAGGAAUUGACGGGACUCCGCACAAGCGGUGGAUCAUGUUGUUUAAUUCGAAGAUACCCGAAAAACCUUACCAGGUCUUGACAUGUUUUUGCAAAAUGAUAGUAAUAUCGUGGAGGUUACCAGAAACACAGGUGGUGCAUGGUUGUCGUCAGCUCGUGUCGUGAGAUGUUAGGUUAAGUCCUAAAACGAGCGAAACCCUUAUCGUUAGUUGCCAGCACGUUAUGGUGGGGACUUUAACGAGACUGCCAAUGAUAAAUUGGAGGAAGGUGAGGAUCACGUCAAAUCAGCAUGCCCCUUAUGACCUGGGCUACAAACGUGAUACAAUGGCUGUUACAAAGGGUAGCUGAAACGCAAGUUCUUGGCCAAUCCCCAAAAACAGUCCCAGUCCGGAUUGAAGUCUGCAACUCGACUUCAUGAAGUUGGAAUCGCUAGUAAUCGCGAAUCAGCAUGUCGCGGUGAAUACGUUCUCGGGGUUUGUACACACCGCCCGUCAAAC